AACGAACGCUGGCGGCAUGCCUAACACAUGCAAGUCGAACGAGAUCUUCGGGUCUAGUGGCGCACGGGUGCGUAACGCGUGGGAAUCUGCCCUUUGGUUCGGAAUAACAGUUGGAAACGACUGCUAAUACCGGAUGAUGACGAAAGUCCAAAGAUUUAUCGCCAGAGGAUGAGCCCGCGUAGGAUUAGCUAGUUGGUGUGGUAAAGGCGCACCAAGGCGACGAGCCUUAGCUGGUCUGAGAGGAUGAUCAGCGACACUGGGACUGAGACACGGCCCAGAUUCCUACGGGAGGAGGCAGUGGGGAAUAUUGGACAAUGGGCGAAAGCCUGAUCCAGCAAGGCCUCGUGAGUGAUGAAGGCCUUAGGGUUGUAAAGCUCUUUUACCCGGGAUGAGAAUGACAGUACCGGAAGAAUAAGCUCCGGCUAACUCCGUGCCAGCCGCCGCCGUAA
rnacentral:rRNA from 1 species